UACGGAGGGGGCUAGCGUUGUUCGGAAUUACUGGGCGUAAAGCGCACGUAGGCGGCUUUUGUAAGUUAGAGGUGAAAGCCCAGGGCUUAACCCUGGAAUUGCCUUUAAGACUGCAUCGCUAGAAUUGUGGAGAGGUAAGUGGAAUUCCGAGUGUAGAGGUGAAAUUCGUAGAUAUUCGGAAGAACACCAGUGGCGAAGGCGACUUACUGGACACAUAUUGACGCUGAGGUGCGAAAGCGUGGGGAGCAAACAGG
rnacentral:rRNA from 1 species